UCUCCGUUGGUGAACCAGCGGAGGGAUCAUUACCGAGUUAUCAACUCCCAAACCCCUGUGAACAUACCCAACGUUGCUUCGGCGGGACCGCCCCGGCGCCCUCGGCGUGCCGGAACCAGGCCCCCGCCGGAGGACCAAAACUCUUGUUUAAACCAUAGUGGCAUAUUCUAAGUCUCACAAGCAAAACGAAUCAAAACUUUCAGCAACGGAUCUCUUGGCUCUG
rnacentral:misc_RNA from 1 species